rnacentral:rRNA from 1 species
GAUGAACGCUGGCGGCGUGCCUAAUACAUGCAAGUCGAGCGAACAGACGAGGAGCUUGCUCCUCUGACGUUAGCGGCGGACGGGUGAGUAACACGUGGAUAACCUACCUAUAAGACUGGGAUAACUUCGGGAAACCGGAGCUAAUACCGGAUAAUAUAUUGAACCGCAUGGUUCAAUAGUGAAAGACGGUUUUGCUGUCACUUAUAGAUGGAUCCGCGCCGCAUUAGCUAGUUGGUAAGGUAACGGCUUACCAAGGCGACGAUGCGUAGCCGACCUGAGAGGGGGAGCGCCCACACGGGAACGGAGACACGGCCCAGACCCCGACGGGAGGAAGCAGGAGGGAAUCUUCCGAAAGGGGCGAAAGCCUGACGGAGCAACGCCGCGUGAGGGAUGAAGGUCUUCGGAUCGAAAAACUCUGUUAUGAGGGAAGAACAAAUGUGAAAGUAACUAUGCACGUCUUGACGGUACCUAAUAAGAAAGCCACGGCUAACUACGUG